CUGAGGGUGUUGGUAGUUCGCACACAAUAAUGCCUCGAAGUCGCCUGGAGGUCCUUAGCUUACGGCCUCUAGCUCUUAUUCAUUUUGAAGAUGUGCGACCGGAGACUACAUAGAGCAUUCGCCGAAGCCGUUCACUUGUUUCUUUGAGGGCAGUGAGCAGUGUAUACUGUUUCAGUUCGACUUGCUACAAUGCUUCGUUGGCUGUGCAAACUCAAGGCAUUUCCUGCCGGCCAGCGGUAUUUACCAGUUCUUGUCGGACUAGGCCAAUUCCUGUUCAAGGCCAGUGCUUGUGCGGCGGAAACAGACGAGACUGCUUUAUCAUUGCAACAAGAGCAAAGCGACCGCAACGUGCUUGCUGUGGUUGGCGUGACCGUUGUGAUCAACUUCAUCCUGGCGAUCCUGUGCUGCGAGCUACGGGGAAGGUACUUGGGACAUUGGCCGUCUCUCCUGAUCGUUGGGGUUGGCAGUGCUGCAGCAUCGUGCUUCAGCCAUGACGUGCCUACAUUGCAGGUGUACUAUUUCCUUCUGAAUUGUUUGAUCUUUGCAGUGUGGGUGUACACUGACGCUUACAAUAACAUUGACGUGUAUAUUAAUUACCAAUAGAAAUUCCAUUGCCGCGUGAGUUCUUGAGUUGAUCCAACUUGAUUCUAGCAAGUUGCGUUUGGACCAUCUCUGCAACUGUAUGAAGAUUAUGUGAACCAGCAAACGGUUUUAGAUUGCCCGCCGUAUCUUGUCUCUACUCGUGUUGCACUCGAAACCCAUGUGCUGUCCAAAUAAUUCCACAUGCUGAGACUGA